UAUCCUCAUGUCCCCCUGGUCAAAGCAAAGCAGGAUAUAUGGGAAUGCUUGGGCCCUUGGACCAGACGUUGUGAGGAAGCUGCUGGUUGGGUAAAGACAUCAAACUCAGGUGUGGAUUUUCACAGCCAACUUCAGGUAUUCCGGAAAAGCUUUUCAGCUAUAGCAACAGGGCUAAGAAGCAUUGAGCUCAUCCCAGGUUCAGAGUUUUUAAUGGCCAGUUUGGUAACAUCAGAUGAUGAAAUAAGUCAUGACAAAAACAUUUUUGUGAAAGACGUCUCAGAAAUUCCUGAGUUAUAUCAGGUACCAUCCUGCUUGCGGGCACAACACAAGUAUGAUGUAAGAUUAAUCAAAGAUGUUAAGCCUGUAGUAAUCACACCAAAAUCUUCAUACAGGCCGUGUCAGAACCAAUAUCCUUUGAAGAAGGAAGCUGUUGACGGUAUUAAACCGGUGUUUGAUUCUCUUUUAAAAGCAGGAGUGAUUAUUCCAUGCGCAAAAUCUCCGGUCCGGACACCUUUUUUCCCCGUACGAAAACUCCGGGACGCCGGAGAGCAACAACAUUGGAGAUUCGUGCAGGACUUGCAGGCGCAUCCCAGUGGAUCCUGACAGCCAGUAUUGGUUUGCGUUCUCUUUUUAAGGUGAAGGAAGCCAUUCCAAGGGCUGCAGAGAGGAAAGUGCAUGACUUGGAGCCUGGUGAUUGGAUCGUGGUGAAGGAUUUCAGAUGAAAGAACUGGCGGGCUCGCGGGUGGAAUGGUCCCUACCAGAUCUUGCGCACCACUGAAACCGCUGUAAAGGUGGCAGAGAGAGCUACGUGGAUCCACGCCACCCACUGCAAAUGAGUACCCGAGCCGGGGCCAGCAGCCAAUCACCAGACAAGUGAGAUCAAGAUCAGUGAGUGAACCGAACCUUCCUCCCCUUGAGCAUUCAGGGGCUAUUGGAGGGGAAUUGCGGUCCCGUGGGGGAGUUUCUCUGAGCACAGAAAUUCCACUGGGACCACCUAGAACCGCUACCCUCCCGAACCAACAUCACAGGCACCGAUUAGGGGGUAGGCAGAGGUGUCACAACUGAUAAGAUGACACUUGAGACCAGAGAAAGAUGGCGAUGGUGGGGUGAUGGACUUAGAGGCCACGGAGGCGGGGUGCUGCUCGUUGUCAUCAUUGUCCUGUCAUCAGUCUCACUAAUGGAAACAUUCGAAACACAACUAGCCCUAGAAGAAGGAGGGGUCAAAAGGGAGGUGCCAUCCAUCUUCCCCAACAUCCCAGCUCAGCUGGAAGACAACACAUGGUAUGCAACUAUACUGACUACUCCCAGAAAAGUGACUAACCAGAGACAUGUAACAUCAGCAUCACCAACUACGACGGCUCCACAGCAAGGUUUUGGAACAUGAGCCAAAUAACAGCAAGGGAUUCAUCGGCCCAUCAUGACUACCAAUCCAACAUCCCAGGCCGGUAUGGUUGGAUUCACCAGACAGUGCUACACAUCUAGAGAUCACUUCCCAGAGACUUCAGCAUGCAAACAGAUUGUCACUACAACAUGUGGCAUCGAGUGGAACAAGGGAGCCCAAAGCAAAUGCAGGGGACCUCAGCCAUACAUCGCUCAGCUGAAUCUGACACCACCAGCUUACACCACCCAGGAAGCGACAAUCCCAUCGUCCUGAUGACUACGGAGGAUGGAUUUGGAUCCCUAAGAGAGCACGUGUGGAGCAUGGCGAUCCACUACGAGAGUGUCACCAGGGGAGAAAGGAAUCAGUGGCAUCCUCCCUUGGUGGGGGACUGUGAAUAAUGCACACAAGACAGAUCACCUGGCCAUAGAUCUUGAGAACUUGACGGCACUGGUAGAGGUAGGGUUUUCCACUCUCACUCCUACCAUGCAGGGGAUCAAAAACGUGGCCCUGCAGAACAGAAUGGUUUUGGACUUGAUGCUGGCUAGUCAAGGAGGAGUUUGUCAUAUUAUGGGACUGAUUGCUGCACCUAUGUUCCAGACAUCACUGACAAUAUGACUCAUGUUGUUUCCCACCUGAACGACCUACUGCAUGAGAAGAAAAGCCUAGACUCCCAGAGUGUGAGAGGAUGGGAUAUGUGGUCAUGGCUGACCAUGGGAGGAUGGAAGAAUGUGUUGAUGAAAAUGUUGGCACCCGUGCUCCUAGUUAUUGUGCUCUUCCUCCUUUUGACCUGCUGUGUAAUUCCCUGCUUCAGAUCAAUGAUUGUUACAGCAAUUAAAUCAUCUAUGGGUCAGUAUAUGAAUAUGCCAAUAGAAACAUUCAGCUCUGUUGAAUGGAUUCCACCGUUUGACAAUGAGAUGAUUUGAGGAGAAUAAAAUUGCAUGUAACCACACUGGAUUUUGAAGUAUGAUGCGAAUUUAGAAUAAAAUGCUCAUGCAUGCUCAUAUAUUACUGCUAGAGCUGUUUACCUGGUGUGGUUACAGUUAUAAUAAUAAUAAUAGUUCUGUUGUUUUGUUGAUUCACGCAUGCUUAUUGUUUAUAACUUAGUUCUUUGGUUUAGUCUGUCAUUAAAUUUUUUAGUUCAUUUCUAUUUACUUGACUGCUAAUGACAGGCUACUGAAUUGAAGGUUCUUCCUCUGACACCUGAGGUUUUCCCCACUUGUCUGGUUAUUUGAUUUUUCCUUUCCUACCUAACAUUUGUUCUUAAUUAUUUUGAUUAGCAUUUAUUUUAAGAUGAUUUUAUGCUAAAAAGGGAGGAAUUGUAAUGGCAAGAACAAACAGACUCUCUGAUAUA